rnacentral:rRNA from 1 species
AUUGAACGCUGGCGGCAGGCCUAACACAUGCAAGUCGAGCGGUAACACAGGGAGCUUGCUCCCGGGUGACGAGCGGCGGACGGGUGAGUAAUGUCUGGGAAACUGCCUGAUGGAGGGGGAUAACUACUGGAAACGGUAGCUAAUACCGCAUAACGUCGCAAGACCAAAGAGGGGGACCUUCGGGCCUCUUGCCAUCAGAUGUGCCCAGAUGGGAUUAGCUAGUAGGUGGGGUAACGGCUCACCUAGGCGACGAUCCCUAGCUGGUCUGAGAGGAUGACCAGCCACACUGGAACUGAGACACGGUCCAGACUCCUACGGGAGGCAGCAGUGGGGAAUAUUGCACAAUGGGCGCAAGCCUGAUGCAGCCAUGCCGCGUGUAUGAAGAAGGCCUUCGGGUUGUAAAGUACUUUCAGCGGGGAGGAAGGUGCUGAGGUUAAUAACCUCAGCAAUUGACGUUACCCGCAGAAGAAGCACCGGCUAACUCCGUGCCAGCAGCCGCCGUAAGAC